rnacentral:rRNA from 1 species
UACGGAGGGGGCUAGCGUUGUUCGGAAUUACUGGGCGUAAAGCGCACGUAGGCGGCUUUGUAAGUUAGAGGUGAAAGCCCGGGGCUCAACCCCGGAACUGCCUUUAAGACUGCAUCGCUUGAAUCUUGGAGAGGUCAGUGGAAUUCCGAGUGUAGAGGUGAAAUUCGUAGAUAUUCGGAAGAACACCAGUGGCGAAGGCGACUGACUGGACAAGUAUUGACGCUGAGGUGCGAAAGCGUGGGGAGCAAACAGG